UGGGGAAUUUUGGACAAUGGGCGAAANCCUGNUCCAGCAAUGCCGCGUGUGUGAAGAAGGCCUUCGGGUUGUAAAGCACUUUUGUCCGGAAAGAAAUCCUUGGCUCUAAUACAGUCGGGGGGAUGACGGUACCGGAAGAAUAAGCACCGGCUAACUACGUGCCAGCAGCCGCGGUAAUACGUAGGGUGCAAGCGUUAAUCGGAAUUACUGGGCGUAAAGCGUGCGCAGGCGGUUUGCUAAGACCGAUGUGAAAUCCCCGGGCUCAACCUGGGAACUGCAUUGGUGACUGGCAGGCUAGAGUAUGGCAGAGGGGGGUAGAAUUCCACGUGUAGCGGUGAAAUGCGUAGAGAUGUGGAGGAAUACCGAUGGCGAAGGCAGCCCCCCUGGGCCAAUACUGACGCUCAUGCACGAAAGCGUGGGGAGCAAACAGGAUUAGAUACCCUGGUAGUCCACGCCCUAAAACGAUGUCAACUAGUUGUUGGGGGAUUCAUUUCCUUAGUAACGUAGCUAACGCGUGAAGUUGACCGCCUGGGGAGUACGGUCGCAAGAUUAAAACUUAAAUGAAUUGACGGGGUCAUA
rnacentral:rRNA from 1 species